AUAAAAUACUAGACUCAUUUGUGAUCAUCAUGCAAAAAAUUUCAUAAUUUUUGGAGUUAAAAUGAAUUUAAAAUGAAUUAUGGAAGUUGAUGAACAUUUGGAUGAAGUAUGGGCAAAAUGCAUGGCAAAUGGGGUCAAACCAAGUCAACCGAUGGCAUAAGUGUAAUUACCCGCCUCACUAAUCCAAACGACACAGUUUUGGGGAAGGAAAUGAAAUGUUCCUAUUGGCUCUCAGCCAAUGGAACAGUG
rnacentral:lncRNA from 1 species